AUACUCUGGUUUCUCUUCAAAACGCAUAAAUCUUUCGCCUUUCACUAAAGAUUUCCGUGGAGAGAAACAAUUAGGAAUUUCUACCCAAUUUUUUGAGGCCUUGUUUUUACGAGGUU